UACUCACCCGGGAUGUGGAAGACAACCCACACCAUUUAAGUCCCCCAGCUCCCAACCUCCUGAGAGGAAGCAGGGAUUUGAACAGAGAUCUGCCACAUCUGAAUUUCUGAAACUUAGUUUUGAAGAAAAUCUGCUUUGAGAGUGAAUUUCAUCCUUCUGUGAAUGGGCCAGCAAAUGGUAGAAAGCAAUCACCAGGAGGUGCAGAGGAUGUAGAAGAUCCCAACAGAACUGCUAUGGUUCUGAUGUGCCAGGGUUGGAAGACAAAGCCUUGUGUAGCAAACCUGGGGUCCAGCUCUCCAGAGACCAUCACAGAGGAGAACAGGUCAAGGGACACAUCAAGCAAAGUAAUUGGAAAGAAGCAGAAUCAUCUAUUACAUGACCUUGGUUCUGGCAGAUAAGGACCUUAACCAGCCACUGUUUGCAGAAGCUGUGGGCACAAAUUAGAACAAGCACUGGAGGGAAUAACAGCUCCCCCAACACACCAGACUGCUGAACCCUUUGAGGAAAAACCCAUCCUAAGAAUCCAGCCACAACAAUCCAUUUCCUUCACCAUCCAGGUUCUGGAACACUCCUGAAACCUCUGUGACAGCACCUCCAUGGCAACAAUUUCUACUUUAACAAUUUCCUUUUAAGGUCUGAGGACCCAUUAGUGGACGAUGGACUACCUGAAGUCAAUGCUGGAUUCUUGGAUGAAGGUUCCAUCGGGGGCCAGACCACGUGUCCACACCCAAUUUGCAAGCUACUUUUUGGCCCCCUCACAUACUUUUUCUUCCCAAUUGAAGCCUCCUCACCUCUCAAAAAGUCCCAUCAGUCCUCAUUCAUCAGGACACAGUAUACAUUAGCCGAGAGUUCAGACUCUCACAUUCAGUGAUCGGCCCCAAGAAGCUUGGGCGGGCCAUGGAAUUCCAAUCCCCUCUUCCCUCUUCAGUUGAGCUCUCUACAUCAGCCAUUAAAGCAUCACUGGCAACUGAAGACCCUUAUUUUACCCCAGAUC